CUUUGUUUGCUUUAUUAUUUUCACUGUAUUUAUUUAUUAUUUUGUUAAGCCCAUCACAAAUAUUUUUUGAAUUAUUUUUGUGCAUAUAUUGUUGAAGUUAAAUUUUUAAUUUUAAAAAAUCUAAUUUAUUUCUCUUUUUUGAUCACUAUCUCUUAGAGAAUGAAAUCAUUCACAUCUAUCCUUUAUAUUUUAGCAAAUAUGUGAAAAGAUGAAUGGAAGAUCUAUUCAUUAUUUCUUUAUCCAUCUUUUUUUCUUCUAUCCACCAUCCCAUCAAUCCAUCCAUCAUACCA
rnacentral:lncRNA from 1 species